rnacentral:rRNA from 1 species
UACGUAGGGGGCGAGCGUUGUCCGAAUUCACUGGGCGUAAAGCGCGCGUAGGCGGACUAUUAAGUUGCGGGUGAAAUCCCGGGGCUCAACCCCGGAACUGCCUGCAAAACUGUUAGUCUUGAGGUAUGAAGAGGGAAGUGGAAUUCCAGGUGUAGCGGUGAAAUGCGUAGAUAUCUGGAGGAACACCCGUGGCGAAGGCGGCUUCCUGGUCAUAUCCUGACGCUGAGGUGCGAAAGCCAGGGGAG